rnacentral:sRNA from 1 species
CAAUAGCCCCGAUUGCAGCGGAAAUCCUUUUUGCUCUUUCUUUAAGAGCGAAAAGAAUUGAAGCGGAAAGCGGGAAAACAG